CACACCCCCACUGACCCCCAUCUCCAGGCAUCUGCCCUGAUGGCCUCCAGGGCCCCUUCUGUGCCUGCAGAGAUGGCGGCCUGCUCUCUAGGUCAGGCCAGGUUCCCGGGAGCCGAGGUCUGGCUGUUAUUCCAGGAGUGCCCAGCCCCAGAGCUGCCACCUCAGGCCCCUGGAAGUUCUGCAGCCUGAGCUGCCGUCCUCAGACCACUCUGCCUCUGAGCGUGCAAGAGGCUCAGGGCCUUUCCAGGCCUCCCAGAGCCAGGCAGCAGCAGGGAGCCAAGAGCAGCCUGUGGCUCCACUGUGGCAAAGGACAGCCUAUUUAGGCUGAGAGUGGGCCUGAGAGAUCACAAAUCUUUUUUCUUUGCCCAGAACUUUUAAUUUAACCCUGACUUAAAAGGGUGUUCAGGGAGCAUCAUGCUAGAAAUCCCAAAUACGAUGAAAGAAUCCCACAACAGAGGUGAACAGAGGCCUGUUCCCAGGUUCAUCCCGGGAAGGUAGCAAGACAGCGCCCCCUUUGCCCAGCUCAGUGAAGGGCCGGGGCAGCUGAUGUGGCCUGCGCACAGGGUGAGGCAGCAAGGGUAAGAGCUUCCAGAACUCCAGGGAAGGCAGCGGAAGAGGGAAACGUUCACAGAGCACCAAGAGGGGCGCAAGGGAGCUCAACUCUACUGCCAGAACCUGCAGUCAGGGGAUUCUCAUGAGGACAAAUUAGAGCACCUGUCACUAUAGCCAGCACUCAAGAAAUGGGAUUAUCAUCAGAGGGAAAAAUGCACAGCCUCACCAGCUAUUAAACAUAUGGAAAUGAUGACAAUUUAAAGCUUAUAAAUAACAUUAGCGGUGGCUUGGAUUUAUUGUUGUGGCCUCCGGAAGAACUUGGGCACAGUGUAACUUCCUGGGGCCCGAGGUUGUUAAUCGGUGAAUUGUUCAUGAAGGACAGUGCUCACUGUGAAGGUGGGUGUCCUGGGAUGCUCUGCCUGGCCCGCGGGAGACAAGGCUAUGGUCUGACAUCCCUCAGCCUGUCCUCAUUGUCCUGGCUCUGAGAAGAAGCUACAAAACACAGUAGAAGAAAAAGAAAACAGUCUUUUAAAGACUUGUAAUGAGUUGUUAAUGAUAAAAGUAACACAUGCCAACUGGAAAAAUGUGAAUUUUUUAUCUCAGCCAAAAGUAUAAAGAUACUUCGAUUUCUUUAAAAACUUAUGGAAAUCUGUUGUUGUAUGCAUAGAUUGUUGAAUACAUCUCUGCUUAUUUAAACUCCUGAAAGUCUUAUCAAUGAGGUCAAAAGGCAGGAAC
rnacentral:lncRNA from 1 species